GGGAUGAGCUCAAGCUUAAAAUCUCCGUGCAAUUUUUGCGCGGCGAAUUGUAGUCUAUGGAAGCGUGGUCAGUAUGGGCACUUGGGUUAAGUUCCUUGGAAGAGGACAGCAUGGAGGGUGAUACUCCCGUUCAUCCCUAAGUUGCUUGUGCGUACGACCCGUUUUCUUUGAGUCGCGUUGUUUGAGAAUGCAGCGCAAAGCAGGUGGUAAAUUCCAUCUAAAGCUAAAUAUUGGUGCGAGACCGAUAGCAUACAAGUACCGUGAGGGAAAGAUGAAAAGAACUUUGAAAAUAGAGUUAAAGAGUACCUGAAACUGCUGAAAGGUAACCAAAUCGUUUCCAGUGUCUAUAAUCCGUGGUAUAUUUCAUUGGCGAGCGUAUGCGUGCGUGUGCUGUUGCAGUGGCCUUUUGGCUGCGCUCGGCGUGUGUGCUGUGUGUGCUUGCCGGUGCCCUGUGCUAUGGUGGGACGUCAAGGUCAGUUCGUAUGCUGCGGGAAAUGGCCACCGAGGAGGUAGGGCUUACGCUUGCGUUUGUCUGUUAUAUCUUGGUGGACGAGUAGUCGCGGUUGGGACUGAGGUGCCUACAACGUGCUUUUGAGUGGAUUUGGGUCUCCGUGUGCGCCGUGUGCGGAUAGCUUGCUAUGCGUGUGUGGCUGUGUAUGGAUUGAUGCGAGUCGUAACUUGUAGCCGUUCGGGACGUUGACG
rnacentral:rRNA from 1 species